AUGGAUUUCAUGCGCUUUAGCCAUCUUCCGGAGACCUGGGUGAUUGAGGGCCCCCAGGAGAGAGUAGCUAUGGAGGGCCAGUGGGAAGGAGGUGAAUCUGGAGAGUCCAUCACGCUUUCAGGGGCCACUUUCAUGUCUAAAUCUAACGUGGGGACACUGAUGCGGUCUGAUACAGAGGAUUCUGGGGUGGAGAUCUGUUCUGAGGCUUCUCUCCCCUCCUCUCCUCCCUCUGUGUCCAUGAGUAAUACAGAUAUUGAUCCUACAGUCAGUGACGAGGAUGGAUUCCCCUCUACCUCUCCUCCAUGCUCUCCUGUCUUCUCUCUGCCAUCUUCUUGCUCCUCUUCCUCCCUGUCCCUCUGCCCCAGGGCUCAGCGGCACAGGGAGAUGGCUGCGGUCAUGCACCUAAAAUUGGAGCAGGCACUGAGGAGGGCAGACUCUGGAGACAAAGACGCUGUGCCCCGACAGCGGUGUCACACGGCUUCACUACCAUCACCUCACUCAGUGACCCGUAUACAGAGGGCAGGUCACAGGUCAGGGAGUGCUGGUCUGAGGAGGACAGUCAGCCAGUCAGUAGUGGAAGAACAGGCCUCAACGGCUGUGCUGCAGCACAGAGGAGGGCUCUGCCCACAUCACAACACUCUGCCUGCUCAGACUGACACAGAGAUCAGGGAGAAGGAUGUGUGUGAGGAGGAGUAUGAGGGGCUCACCCCUGGGCUGGGCUACCUGGAGCAGGUAUGCCGGAUGCUGGAGGAGAUCGCCAGGCUACAGCUACGUAACCAAGGGUUACAGGUGGAGAUGGAUGCUCUCCGGGAGCAGCAGCGGAGCCAGAAUUCAGAACGCAACCAGUGUGACUUCAAGGCUUCUGAGGAAGGCGGCCCCUCUGCCAAUGAAAGACUUGAAGUCAAAGAUUAUGAGGACUUACCCUACCAAUCAAUCUAUCAAUCUGAUAGCAAUAGUAAUGUGCAUCAGCAUUUUCGACUUAGGUCAACAUCGGACAUAACACUCAUGAUGGGACAUCUAAGUGAGUUACAAUCCAAUGUUAAUUCCCCCAGUGUAAACAGUCAAAUACUGUGUCAUCAUUGGUGUAUUUAG
rnacentral:lncRNA from 8 species